CUCUGGAGCAGAGCCAUCGCCCCCAGGACUGGGACUCAUUGUGGGACUCGCCGUCACAGCUGGCCUGGCACUGGGGCUGCUGGGGUGUUGUCUGAUGAAGACAGUUCUGUCGCACUGCAGGGCUCACAGGGAUCCCAGCCCAGACCGGAGCAGGCCAGCCACUGAAGAUCAGAUACAGUAUGCCGAGGUCACCAGAGUCGGAACUGUCCAGCCCGGGGUGGACAGGAACAUGGCAGUGACGUACGCGGUGGUGGGACAGGGUGGCUCUCGAGUUCAGGACACCCGGACGACUCCAUAGCUCUGGGAUUCCCAGUGCCCCACAAGCCUGCAUGAGCCCCACACUUACUGCCAGCCUGAGUGGAGCCCUGGGAAGGAGAUGGUGAUGGAGCCUGUUAACCAGCCAGCGAGAAGCAGCGUUUGAGCCAGUCGAUGGCACAGGGGAAGCUCAGACACUACGUGGGCAGCGGAAGCCGGGUGUGGCCGAGGCCAGGC